rnacentral:rRNA from 1 species
UACAGAGGGUGCGAGCGUUAAUCGGAAUUACUGGGCGUAAAGCGCACGUAGGUGGCGACGUAAGUCGGGUGUGAAAGCCCCGGGCUCAACCUGGGAAUUGCAUUCGAGACUGCAUUGCUGGAGUACGGAAGAGGAAGGCGGAAUUCCCGGUGUAGCGGUGAAAUGCGUAGAUAUCGGGAGGAACAUCAGUGGCGAAGGCGGCCCUCUGGACGGUGACUGACGCUGAGACGCGAAAGCGUGGGGAGCAAACAGG